CGGCGCGGCGCGCGCAUUGGAAUAUGCUUGUGAAUGAUUUUUGUAUAUAGGAGAGAAUGUAAAUAUGCAAGUAUGAAUGUGAUAGUUUUUUCGGCACGAUACCCGCUCUCUCCGCUGCCUUUAUAAGGACUCGUACGGGCUAUCUGAGCUCACUAGCCAAAGCGCAACUAAAGCGCCUAGUCCCUGAACUUGAGCAACAUAUGCCUUGAGCAGGAAUAGUAUUAACAUGGCGAGCAAAAUGAAAGCUUCAGAAAAUAUUCAAGUAAAAGAAAAAAAAGGAAAAACAAUUGCAUUUUCAACUUCAGAAUUUAAAAAAAAAUAGGAGAUCAAUCAGCUAGUAGGAUAAAUAGACGAAAUCAUUGGUGGAAAAACUUUUAUUAAUCAGAAAAAAUAAAGACUUUUAAGUUUAUUUUAAAUAGCAAUGAUGGCGUACGUAUUCAAUGUAACGUUUCAAUGUAAUUAUGUCGAAGUUGGUUUCAGAAGUAAAACAUGAGCUAAACUAAAGUCUAUGUAUUUUAUAUUAUAUGUUUAUUGUCUUUUUUCGUUAAAGUGUCAUCUAAUCAAUAUUCAUAUUAAUUUGUAGAAAAUUUUAUUAGAAAGUGUAACUGUCACUAAGGCAAAAAAAUAUUCGAAUGGAAAUAUAUUUUAUGUCAUGUAUAUAAUAUAAACAAUCUUGUAUAUGAUUUACUCAAAUCAUUAUCUUUUUCUCCAGUGUGAGAGGACGGCGAAGUUUGCCGCCUCCAGUGUGAAAGGGCAGUGAAGUUAGCUGCGCAUCAAAAAUGAUAAGGAAUUGCUUUUCCAUCUUUUUUACAUAUCUUCACGUCUAGAUGGUGCGUUCCAUGGUUUUUGGUGUCUAGGUAAAUAAAUCAUACGAGGGCGGUGUCUAGGU
rnacentral:lncRNA from 1 species